GCCUUAUUGUCAAUAUGGUCUCUCAAAUAAGAUUAGCCUGUUAUCCCUAAGGUAGCUUUUUCUAUUAAUCAAAAAAUUUGGAUCUAAGAGAAGAUGAAGUUUUCUCUAGUUGCCCCAACUAAGUCUUUGAUCUAGGUUGGUUAAAUCGUAGACAGAGCUCUAUAGGGUCUUUUCGUCUAUUUAUUUAAUCCAAAUCUCUUCAUUUGGAGGCCAAUUUUUAUAAGUUAAUGUGAGACAGUUAAGCUUACGUAUAUUCAUUCAUUCCAGCCAUCAAUUAAACGGCAAAUGAUUAUGC
rnacentral:rRNA from 1 species